GGAGAAAGCGCGGCAAAGAUCUGUGUUGCUGAAUGGAACGGUGAAUCCGGACACUGUCUCAGGUGCCCUGCUGCAGAACUACUGAGCCUAGAAAUGUAAAGACCAGAAUAUGGUCAGAGAGAACUUACUUUUCGAUUUUAAAAAGGUUUUACAAGAUUAUUCUGUUUACAUGUGUAUUAAAUGAAGAUUUUAAGGAAAGGGAGGAUUUCCCCUAAAUUUCCUUCCCACCGCCCCCCCCCCCCCGAAUUCUUACAUUUCUAGAAGACUUAAGGAGUCAAAGAGAUAUUUGAAUGCCUAUAUGCCCAGUUGGAGAACAAGUAUUCUGGCCAAAAACAAAAACAAAAAAACAGCGUAUGUUCUCAAUCACAGAAACGUUCGUCCCUAGUCAGGAAAUCAUUAGGAAGAUACGUUAAAUAAGAGCCGGAAAAGAAAGAAAUCUGCAUCAAGGGGAUGAGGCAGAAGGUGACUUUUGGACCACAGUGACCCGGUUAAACAGGGAGAAGCUGGAAAACUCUAAGAACGUCUCAAGCUGCAGUCUCCAUGGCCAUUGUGGGGCUUAAAUUCAUGAUCCUGAGAUCAAGAGUCUCGUGCUCUACUGACUGAGCCAGCCAGGCACCUCACUAUCCUUUUAACUCCAGUGAAUGGUUGAAAAACUGGUCCUUUCCACAACCUACUUCAUUUUCUCCCAUUUUAUAAUCACUGCAUUUGAUACUGACUUUGUCCUGUGUCUCACACAUGUCCUGGACCGUGAUAAUAUGGGCGGGUAGAGUGGGUGGCUGUGGUUCCCUGCAGUAGACCCUAUUGGUUGCUACUGAAAUUUGAUCCCCUUUCCUUCUUGAUGGCAGAUCUCCAAAUGUAUGAGCUUCCCUCUUGUUCAGGGAGGGUGACCCCCACCUCCCAGAGCCAGGGGGUAAAUUAUCAUUGAGCAAGUCUUUUCUGUAAAGAUAGUAAAUAUUUUUUGGCUUUAAAGGUCAGAUGUUUAAAGGCAACAAUAUAUAACUAUAUUUCUAAAAUGUUGAAUGAAAUUGAGAUUGUGUUAUAAAUGAUAUGGACCUCAUUCAAAACUCAAAACGUUAGGCUCUGCUUUAGUUCAUUCAGGCUUCUGUGACAAAAUACCACAGGCUGAGUGGCUUAUAAACAACAGAAUUUUAUAUCUCACAGUCUAGAGGCUGGAAGUCCAGCCUGGUCAGGUAAAUGCCCUCUUCCAGAUUACAGACUUGUUUCCUCACAUGGUAGAAGGGGCUAGGGAGCUCUGUGGGAUCUCUUUUAUAAGGACACUAAUCCCAUUAGUGAGGCUCCACUCUCGUGGCCUAAUCACUUCCCAAAGGCCCCACUUCCUAAUACCAGCACAUUGGGCAUUGGAGUUCCAACAUGUGAAUUUGGGGGGACACAAGCAUUUAGGCCAUAGCAGGCCCUAAAUAUAAAUUAUUAAUAAGAAAAUCUCAUGGGGUGCCUGGGUGGCUCAGUUGAUUAUGCAUCCGACUCAGUUUCAGCUCAGGUCAUGAUCUCAUGGUUUUGUGGGUUCGAGCCC